GGUUAAGCGACUAAGCGUACACGGUGGAUGCCCUGGCAGUCAGAGGCGAUGAAGGACGUGCUAAUCUGCGAAAAGCGCCGGCGAGGUGAUAUGAACCCUUGACCCGGCGAUGUCCGAAUGGGGAAACCCAGUGCAAUCCGUUGCACUAUCGUUAACUGAAUACAUAGGUUAACGAGGCGAACCGGGGGAACUGAAACAUCUAAGUACCCCGAGGAAAAGAAAUCAACCGAGAUUCCCCCAGUAGCGGCGAGCGAACGGGGAGCAGCCCGGAGUCUGAAUCAGCUUGUGUGUUAGUGGAACGGUCUGGAAAGUCCGACGGUACAGGGUGAUAGUCCCGUACACGAAAGCACACAUGCUGUGAACUCGAAGAGUAGGGCGGGACACGUGGUAUCCUGUCUGAAUAUGGGGGGACCAUCCUCCAAGGCUAAAUACUCCUGACUGACCGAUAGUGAACCAGUACCGUGAGGGAAAGGCGAAAAGAACCCCGGCGAGGGGAGUGAAAAAGAACCUGAAACCGUGUACGUACAAGCAGUGGGAGCCUCUUUAUGGGGUGACUGCGUACCUUUUGUAUAAUGGGUCAGCGACUUAUAUUCUGUAGCAAGGUUAACCGUAUAGGGGAGCCGAAGGGAAACCGAGUCUUAACUGGGCGUUAAGUUGCAGGGUAUAGACCCGAAACCCGGUGAUCUAGCCAUGGGCAGGUUGAAGGUUGGGUAACACUAACUGGAGGACCGAACCGACUAAUGUUGAAAAAUUAGCGGAUGACCUGUGGCUGGGGGUGAAAGGCCAAUCAAACCGGGAGAUAGCUGGUUCUCCCCGAAAGCUAUUUAGGUAGCGCCUCGUGAACUCAUCUUCGGGGGUAGAGCACUGUUUCGGCUAGGGGGCCAUCCCGGCUUACCAACCCGAUGCAAACUACGAAUACCGAAGAAUGUUAUCACGGGAGACACACGGCGGGUGCUAACGUCCGUCGUGAAGAGGGAAACAACCCAGACCGCCAGCUAAGGUCCCAAAGUCAUGGUUAAGUGGGAAACGAUGUGGGAAGGCACAGACAGCCAGGAUGUUGGCUUAGAAGCAGCCAUCAUUUAAAGAAAGCGUAAUAGCUCACUGGUCGAGUCGGCCUGCGCGGAAGAUGUAACGGGGCUAAACCAUGCACCGAAGCUGCGGCAGCGACACUAUGUGUUGUUGGGUAGGGGAGCGUUCUGUAAGCCGUUGAAGGUGUGCUGUGAGGCAUGCUGGAGGUAUCAGAAGUGCGAAUGCUGACAUAAGUAACGAUAAAGCGGGUGAAAAGCCCGCUCGCCGGAAGACCAAGGGUUCCUGUCCAACGUUAAUCGGGGCAGGGUGAGUCGACCCCUAAGGCGAGGCCGAAAGGCGUAGUCGAUGGGAAACAGGUUAAUAUUCCUGUACUUGGUGUUACUGCGAAGGGGGGACGGAGAAGGCUAUGUCAGCCGGGCGACGGUUGUCCCGGUUUAAGCAUGUAGGCGGAGGUUCCAGGUAAAUCCGGUACCUUAUUAACGCUGAGGUGUGAUGACGAGGCACUACGGUGCUGAAGUGAUAAAUGCCCUGCUUCCAGGAAAAGCCUCUAAGCAUCAGGUAACACGAAAUCGUACCCCAAACCGACACAGGUGGUCAGGUAGAGAAUACCAAGGCGCUUGAGAGAACUCGGGUGAAGGAACUAGGCAAAAUGGUGCCGUAACUUCGGGAGAAGGCACGCUGAUGUGUAGGUGAAGCCCCUGCGGGCGGAGCUGAAAUCAGUCGAAGAUACCAGCUGGCUGCAACUGUUUAUUAAAAACACAGCACUGUGCAAACACGAAAGUGGACGUAUACGGUGUGACGCCUGCCCGGUGCCGGAAGGUUAAUUGAUGGGGUUAGCGGCAACGCGAAGCUCUUGAUCGAAGCCCCGGUAAACGGCGGCCGUAACUAUAACGGUCCUAAGGUAGCGAAAUUCCUUGUCGGGUAAGUUCCGACCUGCACGAAUGGCGUAAUGAUGGCCAGGCUGUCUCCACCCGAGACUCAGUGAAAUUGAACUCGCUGUGAAGAUGCAGUGUACCCGCGGCAAGACGGAAAGACCCCGUGAACCUUUACUAUAGCUUGACACUGAACACUGGUCCUUGAUGUGUAGGAUAGGUGGGAGGCUUUGAAGCGUGGACGCCAGUCUGCGUGGAGCCAACCUUGAAAUACCACCCUUUAAUGGCUGGUGUUCUAACGUAGACCCGUAAUCCGGGUUGCGGACAGUGUCUGGUGGGUAGUUUGACUGGGGCGGUCUCCUCCCAAAGAGUAACGGAGGAGCACGAAGGUUGGCUAAUCCUGGUCGGACAUCAGGAGGUUAGUGCAAUGGCAUAAGCCAGCUUGACUGCGAGCGUGACGGCGCGAGCAGGUGCGAAAGCAGGUCAUAGUGAUCCGGUGGUUCUGAAUGGAAGGGCCAUCGCUCAACGGAUAAAAGGUACUCCGGGGAUAACAGGCUGAUACCGCCCAAGAGUUCAUAUCGACGGCGGUGUUUGGCACCUCGAUGUCGGCUCAUCACAUCCUGGGGCUGAAGUAGGUCCCAAGGGUAUGGCUGUUCGCCAUUUAAAGUGGUACGCGAGCUGGGUUUAGAACGUCGUGAGACAGUUCGGUCCCUAUCUGCCGUGGGCGCUGGAGAAUUGAGGGGGGCUGCUCCUAGUACGAGAGGACCGGAGUGGACGCAUCACUGGUGUUCGGGUUGUCAUGCCAAUGGCACUGCCCGGUAGCUAAAUGCGGAAGAGAUAAGUGCUGAAAGCAUCUAAGCACGAAACUUGCCCCGAGAUGAGUUCUCCCUGAGACUUUAAGUCUCCUGAAGGAACGUUGAAGACGACGACGUUGAUAGGUCGGGUGUGUAAGCGCAGCGAUGCGUUGAGCUAACCGAUACUAAUGAACCGUGAGGCUUAACCUU
rnacentral:rRNA from 1 species